rnacentral:rRNA from 1 species
ACGGGAGGCAGCAGUGGGGAAUUUUGCGCAAUGGGGGCAACCCUGACCUAGCAACGCCGCGUGAAGGAAGAAGGCCUUCGGGUUGUAAACUUCUUUUAUGAGGGACGAAGGAGGUGACGGUACCUCAUGAAUAAGCCACGGCUAACUACGUGCCAGCAGCCGCGGUAAUACGUAGGUGGCGAGCGUUGUCCGGAUUUACUGGGUGUAAAGGGCGCGUAGGCGGGAUGACAAGUCAGAUGUGAAAUCCAUGGGCUCAACCCAUGAACUGCAUUCGAAACUGCCAUUCUUGAGUAUCGGAGAGGCAAGCGGAAUUCCUAGUGUAGCGGUGAAAUGCGUAGAUAUUAGGAGGAACACCAGUGGCGAAGGCGGCUUGCUGGACGAAAACUGACGCUGAGGCGCGAAAGCGUGGGGAGCAAACAGGAUUAGAUACCCUGGUA